GGGCUGGUUUGUUUCUUCAAAGACGACUGCUGGAAGUUGUCCUUCGUCACGGAGGAAGUUGAUGUGUUGAAAUUCCGAGUAAACGACGACCUUAAUGCACCCGGUCCGUUCCUUUGAAAGAAACCCUUGAACAUCGUCGAAAACCUAUCGUCCGAUAGACCGUAAAUAAAAGGGUUGGAAACGUUGUUUAGAAAGAUCGUCCACAGGAAGAUGUAAUAUAGAGCCCCUCCAUAGAAGCCCAUGGAACACUCCAGGUUUGGUUGGACGUGUAGGACCAGCGCAAGGGCAUCGUGUAUCAAUGCAUUGAUGAGGUAGACCACAGAGAUGAUGAGGAACGUCGUUGUUGUCUUCCCGAGUUUUUGCGGUUUCGGUUGCCCCUUUUGGCGGGUUUUGGUCCGGACAGUGGAGUAUUUGGAGUGACUGUGAAUUCUCCGGAGAAUGAGGGAGUACAGAAUACAGAGGAAAGCCGUCACUAUGACCAACAUCACGGUCAGGGCGAUGUAGUUCCAUUUAGCGAUUCUCAUGGUUAGUCGGUCACUUUCCAGGAAGCAGCGCGUUCCCUCAAUGUUGUUGAUUUGCGUAUUGAUUUUGGAAUUCCCGUAAAGGAGCGGCGUAAACCAGGAAAAUCCGAGCGCAAACACACAGACAAACAGACAGCUUAGCUUUGACUGAUGCUCAGUGAGCUGUUUCUGUAGUGGUCUGCAGACUUUCUGGAACCGGUCAAUGGCAAUCAGGACCAAGAUCAGGGGGGAGGCGAUGUGUACGAAAAACCCAAGGAAGUAGCCUGCUUUACAUACAACGUUAGAUGGAAAUUGUAACGGGUAAUACAGGUACAGAAUAGCGAAAGGCAUCACAAAUACACAACUGAUCAAAUCCAGUAGCACGAGAAAGAGAACGUAGACUCUGUAAUUGGAAGUCUUGGACCUAUUGCGGUAUAACAACAGGACACUUACAUUUCCUAUCAGACUUAGUAACAUCUGAAGACUGAUGAAGUAAAUACCGGGAAUAUUCCGGCGCAUGAAUUCGGUGUUGAUGUCGGACAAAGUAGUUUGGUUGCUCCAGUUCCUAUCAAAGAGCCACUGCGGACAGAACAGUGCUACCUUCUGUCCAUGGGUGUGGUUCGUGUGGAAGAAGUUCUGUGGGUCAUCAGGUGGGGGUUGGGGCGGGCGGUCAGUCAGAAGGAACGGAUCCGGAUCCGGUGCUGGCAUAUCAUGUAGUCCAUCAGGGUCCAUUUCAAAUAUCAAUUUCAAAAUUCAACUUUUUUGCGAAAUAUAAAGUCGAAAAUUUUCGUGUUUUUCUCUUAAGGCCGAAUAAGACUUGUGAACAGCGUGAUACUUUCUUGAAACAGUCAACAAUUUUAUUACAUUCGGACGUCAAUUUGACAAAAAGAUAAAAUCAGCAUUACUGGACCGUCGGUCUAAAUGGAAUUUAGCGCCAUAAAAUAUCCAUAUAAAACAAUGACUAACUUACAUUUACAUGUAAUUUAUUGCCCCCGGAUAUAAAAUCUGAAUGAGCGACAAUUACCGCUUAUUGACUUGCUUGUUAAACUGGCAUUUUUCAUUUAGAUUAUUUCUCGUUGGAAAUAAGUAAUUAUUUUUAUUAUGGAAUGUUAAUAAUACCAUUUAUAAAAUAUACACGUUAAAA
rnacentral:sRNA from 1 species